UAUAUUGUAGUCUAUAGUAAGACGUUAAGUUGCAAACUUAAAAAAGCUUCCUAGAGGUAAAAGCCAUUAUAA
rnacentral:tRNA from 1 species